GAUGAACGCUGGCGGCGUGCCUAAUACAUGCGAGUCGAGCGAACAGACGAGGAGCUUGCUCCUCUGACGUUAGCGGCGGACGGGUGAGUAACACGUGGAUAACCUACCUAUAAGACUGGGAUAACUUCGGGAAACCGGAGCUAAUACCGGAUAAUAUAUUGAACCGCAUGGUUCAAUAGUGAAAGACGGUUUUGCUGUCACUUAUAGAUGGAUCCGCGCCGCAUUAGCUAGUUGGUAAGGUAACGGCUUACCAAGGCGACGAUGCGUAGCCGACCUGAGAGGGUGAUCGGCCACACUGGAACUGAGACACGGUCCAGACUCCUACGGGAGGCAGCAGUAGGGAGUCUUCCGCAAUGGGCGAAAGCCUGACGGAGCAACGCCGCGUGAGUGAUGAAGGUCUUCGGAUCGUAAAACUCUGUUAUUAGGGAAGAACAAAUGUGUAAGUAACUAUGCACGUCUUGACGGUACCUAAUCAGAAAGCCACGGCUAACUACGUG
rnacentral:rRNA from 1 species